UACGUAGGGUGCGAGCGUUAAUCGGAAUACUGGGCGUAAAGCGUGCGCAGGCGGUUCGUUGUGUCCGUCGUGAAAGCCCCGGGCUUAACCUGGGAACUGCGAUGGAAACUAGCGAGCUGGAGUGUGGCAGAGGGGGUGGAAUUCCGCGUGUAGCAGUGAAAUGCGUAGAGAUGCGGAGGAACACCGAUGGCGAAGGCAGCCCCUGGGCUAACACUGACGCUCAGGCACGAAAGCGUGGGGAGCAAACAGG
rnacentral:rRNA from 1 species